AUUUUUAAAGAAAAAAUAUCAAAGUUGUAGUCUACACUAAUCAAUCUCUCAAAAAGGACGAACCACUCACAGCUAAGAAAAAAAUAGAGUGAUGGUAUAAGAUUACAAGAGAAAAUUACCCUUUGGUUUGGUAAUAUUGCACAUGAUCUGGUGCAUUACUUUUUUCUGCCAAUGAUGCAUUUACUUACUUGCACUAAAAUAAUGUUUUGUAAUUAAUUACCGCUUCUAUCAAAAGCAAAGAUCAUAAUUAUUUUUGAAUCAUGUCGUGUGAUGAAGCCAAUAAAUAUGUUUAUAUUGCAUUAUUUCAACAAAAUUAGACAUUUUCUUUUAGUUGAGGUAAGAAAUAGAAUUGUCGUUCCAAAGAAAAUAAAAUUAUAUAUGUUAAUUUGCGGGUAUAAAUGCAUUUUAGAAUAUCUUUUUUUUUUGUUCAACCAAAUUCAUUAGAAAAUUUAAAAGAUGAGUUUAGCCCGUGGAUCGGCCCAAUACAGUAGAUGGAUAUCUGAGAAUGGAUUUGGCAAGCCUAUCAGCUCGCCCAUUCUCAGCCCGAGGAAGAAAAGUGAAGAACAAGUCAGAAAACGAAGAAGAAGACGCUUUGAUAUCCUUCAGGAUUCCGUAGAUCUCUUUCUCAAAUUGUUUGUCUGUGAUGGCUCUGAUUAGGGUUUGAUUAUCAGAGUGGAUUCAUAGAUGAGUGAUGUUAAGAGAGAUAACUGCUUGGAGAGCAGUAUUCACCGCUAAGACCUCUGCAACUAAGAGGGAGUUGACGUUUCGGUGGAAUAGUGCUCCUUGUGAUUCCACCGCGUUUGGCGAUCCCGAGAUGAUCCAUGCAAGCCCUGCUGUGUGUGAAUCUUUAUCCCACGAAGUGUCUGUGUUACAGAUUAUGUAUUCGAUCCUUGAGUUCCUUCGGUGGUCAAGUCGAGGUUUUCUUCUCGAAUAUCAGUACAUUCCUGGCUGUCCAAAUAGCCCAGAGAAUCCAUGGCAGAAUGUUAGAGGUCACUCCCAAACGAGGGAGGCAUAUGAUGUUCCUAAACAACACUAGUGCUUCUGCCACAUCUGCAAUUGCCGCGACAUCUUUUUCCGGUGAUAGGCCAAUGCUCUUCCACACUCUUAGCGCAAAAUCACACCUGAAGAAAAUAAAAGCAUCGAAGACAAACUUCCACACCGUGAGCAAAUAAGCGAAUUAUCACUAAAGAAAGUAGACACAUAAAUCUUGAACUUUCUAAGAGCUGAGGUUGAUAAGAGGAAUACAGAGAUCAGGAAGUUGGAGAAAAGAAUCAAAGAGAUUGUGGACCAGUCUGUUGGUGUUGCUAACAUACGUGAAUAUGAAGGAAGGCUCAAGGAGGCUCAAGAAAUGGCUGAACCUGAGUAACCAGCUUGCUAAAUUAAAAUACCAGGUGGAAUAUGAGCAAAACCGAGAUGUGGGGUCACGAAUUCGAAAGCUAGAAUCUUCGAUCAGUUCCUUGGAAGCUGAUUUUGAAAAAAUACGGAAGAGGAUAUCUGAACUUAAGGAGUUAACAGAGAAAGCUACUAAAGAAAUCAACCAUUGGAAGAAGGAAAUGGGAGAGUGCAAACAAAAAUCAGAGGAGUAUGAAAAGGAAAUCCUGGAUUGGAAAAAGCACGUUUCUCAACCGACAGCAAGGAAAAACAAACUCAAUCGUCAGAUACAUCUAUCUUAUUAAAUCAGAAACAUUACAACUUCUUCUAUGUGGAUUUUAAAAGUGGACUUCAUAUAUUUAAAUCAAAUGUCUCAUUCUUUAUAUAUAAUACGUACCAUAGUC